rnacentral:rRNA from 1 species
UACGUAGGGACCAAGCGUUGUUCGGAUUUACUGGGCGUAAAGGGCGCGAUAGGCGGCAAUUCAAGUCAGCUGUGAAAUCUCCGGGCGUUAACUCGGAACGGUCAGCUGAUACUGCUUGCUAGAGUACAGAAGGGGCAAUCGGAAUUCUUGGUGUAGCGGUGAAAUGACGUAGAUAUCAAGAGGAACACCUGAGGUGAAGACGGGUUGCUGGGCUGAUGACUGACGCUGAGGCGCGAAAGCGUAGGGUAGCAAACGGG